rnacentral:ncRNA from 1 species
CGUGCAAGUCGGGACCCGAAAGAUGGUGAACUAUGCCUGAGGAGGUUGAAGCCACAGGAAACUCUGGUGGAGGACCGUAGCGAUUCUGACGUGCAAAUCGAUCGUCAAAUUUGGGUAUAGGGGCGAAAGACUAAUCGAACCGUCUAGUAGCUGGUUCCCUUCGAAGUUUCCCUCAGGAUAGCUGGCGCUCUGUCGCAGUUUUAUCUGGUAAAGCGAAUGAUUAGAGGUCUUGGGGGCGAAACGCCCUCAACCUAUUCUCAAACUUUAAAUUGGUAAGAAGCCCGACUCGCUCGUUUGGAGCCGGGCAUGGAAUGCGAGUGCCAAGUGGGCCACUCUUGGUAAGCAGGACUGGCGAUGCGGGAUGAACCGAACGCCGGGUUAAGGCGCCCGACGCGACGCUCAUCAGAGCCCACAAAAGGUGUUGGUUGAUAUAGACAGCAGGACGGUGGCCAUGGAAGUCGGAAACCGCUAAGGAGUGUGUAACAACUCACCUGCCGAAUCAAUCAGCCCUGAAAAUGGAUGGCGCUGGAGCGUCGGGCCUAUACCCGGCCGUCGCGGCGGUACGAGCAUCGAGUUGGUGCGCUAGGCCGCGACGAGUAGGAGGGCCGCGGCGGCGGGCGUAGAAGCCUAGGGCGCGAGCCCGGGUGGAGC